rnacentral:rRNA from 1 species
UGUGGUCAAGCAUGAAAGGGUGCAUGGUGGAUGCCUAGGCGUCCAGAGGCGAAGAAAGACGUGGUAGCCUGCGAUAAGCCCGGAGAAGGCGGCAAACAGCCUGUGAUCCCGGGAUUUCUGAAUGGGGAAACCCGACGUCACUGAGCAAUCAGAUGGCGUCACCGGCGGCUGAAUUCAUAGGCCGUCGGAGCCGACCCGGGGAACUGACACAUCUCAGUACCCGGAGGAAAGGAAAUCAACCGAGACUCCGUCAGUAGCGGCGAGCGAACGCGGAUACAGCCCAAACCGGUCUUCGGACCGGGGUUGUGGGGCCUCGAGGAGUUAAAAAGGCGCGGCCGGCGGAAUGGUCUGGAAAGGCCAACCAGAGCGGGUGACAGUCCCGUAGGCAAAGGUCGCAGCCCUCCGUUGAGAGGAUUCCCAGAGUAGCACGGAGCCCGUGAAACUCCGUGUGAAGCCGGGGGGACCACCCUCCAAGGCUAAGUACUCCUGGACGACCGAUAGUGGACCAGUAAGGUGACUGAAAGGUGAAAAGAACCGCAAUAAGCGGAGUUAAAAGAACCUGAAACCAUGCACUUACAAGCUGUGGAAGCACGAUGGAACUGUCUUCGGACUUUUCCCGUGUGACCGCGUACCUUUUGCAUAAUGGACCGGCGAGUUACUCCUCUGUGGCAAGGCUAAACCGCGCAGCGGUGGAGCCGCAGCGAAAGCGAGUCUGAACAGGGCGACCAGUCGCAGGGGGUAGACCCGAAUCUGCGUGAUCUACCCAUGGCCAGGAUGAAGUGCCCGUAAAAGGGCGCGGAGGUCCGAAGCCGUGAACGUUGAAAAGUUCUGGCAUGAGCUGUGGGGAGGAGUAAAAGUCUAAUCAAACGCAGGGAUAUCUGGUUCUCCCCGAAAUCGCUCUUGGGCGAGCCUCGGGCAACUACGUGUCGGGGGUAGAGCUACUGGAUGAAACGAGGGGUCUACCCGACUACCUCCUUCAACCAAACUCCGAAUACCGACGCGACUAUCCCGGGAGUCAGUCUGCGGGGGAUAACCUUCGCGGACAAAAGGGAAACAACCCACACCGCCGGCUAAGGCCCCCAAAUACGACUGAGUGCGAAAGGGCGUUAGAUUUCUAGGACAGCGGGGAUGUUGGCUUAGAAGCAGCCACCAUUUAAAAAGUGCGUAAUAGCUUACCCGUCGAGAAAUCUGGCACCGAUAAUGAACGGGACUAAGUCGUAUGCCGAAGCCGCGGGAUCAAGAGACUAGAAACUAGAAACUGGAGACAAGACGGCGCAUGCCGUAUCACCGGCUCGAUGUGUUUCAGAAGGCCUAUCGGCUCUCGCUUGAAUUGCACGAGGCCAAGCGGAGCUUUCCGACGCCGGAAGGUGCCGAUGUGGCCGGGCAACUUCGCAGGGCGAGCAAGUCGAUCGUCGCCAAUCCGGUCGAAGGAAUGGCGCGACAGAUGUCCCCGCGGGACGUCGUUCGCUUCCUACGCGACGCGAUGGGCUCAUGCGACGAGACACGCCUGUGGCUCGACUAUGCGCGUGAUCUGAAAUACAUCGAGGCGGAACGUCAUGCCAACUGGACCGAGCGCUACCAAGAAGUCGGCCGCAUGUUGAACGGCCUGAUUCGUAAGUGGUCGGCGUGAAACGGUGUUUUUCUAGUUUCCGGUUUCCAGUUUCUAGUCUCUUGAUCGGUAGGGGAGCGCUGGCAGGCAGAUACAAGCCGUAUCGUAAGAAGCGGUGACGGGCCUGUCAGGUGCGUAUGCCGGUUUGAGUAACGAUAAAGCGUGUGAAAAUCACGCUCGCCGUAAGCCCAAGGUUUCCUGGGGAAGGUAAAUCCUCCCAGGGUUAGUCGGAACCUAAGGCGAGGCCGAAAGGCGUAGCCGAUGGACAGCGGGUUAAUAUUCCCGCACUCCGUAUCAAGGUCGAACCAUGCGUGCGUUUUUCCAAGGUGCAGCCCACCACGAGACGUGAGGGUUCCCGAAAGGGCGAGGCCAAUUUGUUGUCGAAGUGCACGGAGGAAGAACCGAGAAAAGCGCAUGGGGACGAGAUGCGGAUCCGUACCAAAACCGACACAGGUGGGCGAGGAGCGUAUCCUCAGGCGCUCGAGAGAACGGUCCUUAAGGAACUAGGCAAUUUGACCCCGUAACUUCGGGAUAAGGGGUCCCUCCCGCUUUGUAGCAAUACGAGCGGAGGGCGCAGAGAAACGGCUCUGGGAACUGUUUAUCAAAAACACAGGUCUCUGCCAACUCGCAAGAGGAUGUAUAGAGACUGACGCCUGCUCGGUGCCGGAAUGUUAAGGAAGUCGGUCAGGGGGUUCGCCCCCGAAGCUGGCAACCGAAGCACCGGUUAACGGCGGCCCUAACUAUGAGGGUCCUAAGGUAGCGAAGUUCCUUGUCGGGUAAGUUCCGACGCGCAUGAAUGGCGUAAUCACUGGAGCACUGUCUCAAGGACCGACUCGGUGAAAUAGAAGUUGUGGUGAAGAUACCACAUACCCGCGGCAAGACGGAAAGACCCCGUGAACCUUCACUGUAUCCUGGUAUUGGAGCCGGGUAACGCAUGCGUAGGAUAGGUGGGAGGCUUUGAUCCGCCGGUUUUGGCCGGCGGGGAGCCACUGUUGAAAUACCACCCUUGUAUUAUUCGUCUCCUCACCUCGUCCCGUGAAUCCGGGCGAGGGACCGUGCUAGGUGGGCAGUUUGACUGGGGCGGUCUCCUCCCAAAGAGUAACAGCCAAAGGCUGGUGUUGCUCCGCGUCGUGGCGACACGACGAUGAAAAUCCGGCCGUAUGCUGGAAAAUCCGUGUAUUCGGCGGUACGGGCGCUCGCCCGUGACAACCCGACCGAUGCGGACAAUCAGCAGGAAACCAUGUCUGUUUGCUGGCUCCGAGAAACAAGGCGCCAGGAAUCGAAGUGGGAUCCUCAGAGACUAUACGCCGGACGUCCCCAAGGGGACGAUGAGAUAGUCCGAACUGCAUGGCGACAUGCAGAGAUCGGCAGAAAUGUCCGAUCCCGCCGCCUCGUAACGCCUCUAGUGUCUAGUUCUCUAGUCUCUAGCCCGUUACGAGCGCAGCGAGUAACAAUCUUGAACGGAGGAGUGCAUAAGGUCGGCUCAGUGCGGUUGGCAAUCGCACGCAGAGCGCAAGGGUAUAAGCCGGCUUCACUGCGAGAUAUACAGAUCGAGCAGAUGCGAAAGCAGGCCCUAGUGAUCCGGUGAUCCCGUGUGGAAGGGUCAUCGCUCAACGGACAAAAGGUACUCCGGGGAUAACAGGCUGAUCGCUCCCGAGCGUCCAUAGCGGCGGAGCGGUUUGGCACCUCGAUGUCGGCUCAUCACAUCCUGGGGCUGAAGGCGGUCCCAAGGGUUCGGCUGUUCGCCGAUUAAAGUGGUACGCGAGCUGGGUUCAGACCGGCGUGAGCCAGGUCGGUCCCUAUCUGUCGCGGGCGCACCAGACUUGAGAGGCCACAACCCUAGUACGAGAGGACUGGGUUGUACGAACCUAUGGUGAUCCAGUUGUCCCGCUAGGGGCACCGCUGGGUAGCUAAGUUCGGAAUGGAUAAACGCUGAAUGCAUCUAAGCGUGAAGCCGCCCUCGAGAUAAGGUCUGGAUCGCUUUUGCGUGAAGGCCCCUCGAAGAUGACGAGGUAAAUAGGCCGGAGGUGUAAGACCAGAAAUGGCCUGAGCUGACCGGUACUAACGGCCAAGUGCUUGACCACAU